UUAACUUCGUAGACAUUAAACAUUUUUAGAACAACUCUGGGAAACUUUCAGAAGUAAUUGAAAUUUAGGAGUUGAUUUCAUGUUCACUUAAAAUAAUUCCCCUGUUGGUAAUUAGACGUUGUUUAAAGUGAUAUACCGAGGGUAGUUUAAUCUUCAAUCCCCACAGGCGUUACAGCAGAUACAUGUGAAGGGAGGUGUGGAUACGAGACGUCAUGUGUACCGGGAAGGCACUGUAUAUGUCAGGAGGGAUGGUAUGGUCCACUUACACAACCAGGAGUCCCUGAGCUGUUUUGUCUGCGAAUGUGUGGGUCUGGUGGGCAUAAUUGUCUUGCCAACACCACAUGCACAGCGCUGCAUUUUGACAGGAGGGAAGUAAACGUGUGUGAUUGUUCUGCUGGCGCAAGACGAUCAUCUACAGGGCAAUGUUUAGAUAUUGACGAAUGUGUCGAAAAGUGGCGGAUUUGUGGUAACAACUCUAUAUGCGAAAAUACAGAAGGCCACUACACAUGCGCCUGUACAAAAGGAUAUAGUAAGAAAAACGGUGAGAAGU